rnacentral:rRNA from 1 species
UACGUAGGGUGCGAGCGUUAAUCGGAAUUACUGGGCGUAAAGCGUGCGCAGGCGGUGAUGUAAGACAGAUGUGAAAUCCCCGGGCUCAACCUGGGAACUGCAUUUGUGACUGCAUCGCUGGAGUGCGGCAGAGGGGGAUGGAAUUCCGCGUGUAGCAGUGAAAUGCGUAGAUAUGCGGAGGAACACCGAUGGCGAAGGCAAUCCCCUGGGCCUGUACUGACGCUCAUGCACGAAAGCGCGGGGAGCAAACAGG